UCAGUCGGCCGGACGGCCGCUCCCGCUGGUGCCGAAAGGCCGCGGGGGAGGAAAGUCCGGGCUCCAUCGACAUGCGGUGCCGGAUAACAUCCGGCGGGGGCGACCCCAGGGAAAGUGCCACAGAGAACGAACCGCCUCGCUUCGCCUUCGGGCUUGGCCGGGUAAGGGUGAAAAGGUGCGGUAAGAGCGCACCGCGUUUCCGGCAACGGAGACGGCAUGGCAAACCACACCGGGAGCAAAACCGAAUAGGGACGGCAACGCGGUUAGUUCGCGCACGCGCGAUAACACCGCAGGGCGAUGUCAGGCCCGCUGUCCGGGUAGGUUGCUCGAGGCAAGGUGCAAACCUUGUCCCAGAGGAAUGGCCGUCACGUACCAUUCGCAAGAAUGGUGCCCUACAGAACCCGGCUUACAGGCCGGCUGAUAUC
rnacentral:RNase_P_RNA from 1 species